rnacentral:misc_RNA from 1 species
GAUGAAGAACGUAGUGAAAUGCGAUAAGUAAUGUGAAUUGCAGAAUUCAGUGAAUCAUCGAGUCUUUGAACGCACAUUGCGCCCCCUGGUAUUCCGGGGGGCAUGCCUGUCCGAGCGUCAUUGCUGCCCUCAAGCACGGCUUGUGUGUUGGGCCCCGCCCCCCGGCUCCCGGGGGGCGGGCCCGAAAGGCAGCGGCGGCACCGCGUCCGGUCCUCGAGCGUAUGGGGCUUCGUCACCCGCUCCGUAGGCCCGGCCGGCGCCCGCCGGCGACCCCCCUCAAUCUUUUCAGGUUGACCUCGGAUCAGGUAGGGAUACCCGCUGAACUUAAGCAUAUCAUAAGCGGAGGA